CCAACAAAAAAUGUUCAGAACACGUGAACUAUUGAAAAGGAAAGGCUGGGGAUUGCAGUUCCCGCUCCUUCUCUUUGAGAUCCACGUGAACCCGUGUGGAAGUAGCUGCGACUUUUGCCAGCUUUGCAGCCAGGAGCGCCUUUCCCGGGGGCUGGAAACGUCUCUGAGAUGGAGCUGGGGGGGGGGGGGGCUUUCCCGUCCUGGGAGGGAGGAGCCCGCCGGCAGAGGCCGCCCGGCUGCACGUCCACCUCCUGCUGUGAGGGCGGGGCCUGUGCGUCCUUGGUGUGGAGGCCACUAGCUAGCGCGGGGGUCCCCCCCGCUGACGGGGGCUGGGGGUGAGCUCUGCGCCGGUGGUGCCGACCGGCCCGGCCCCUCCCCUGGGAGCAGGCGUGCUGGGCGGAGCCCGGUGGCUGUGGGGAGGCGAUUCCUUCCGUUCCGACAGCCUCCCGGGGGUUCCGGCGCCGCAGCGCGCACCGCGGGACGGGUCAAUGCAGAUUCACGUAGCUGUGCAGGACACCGGGCCAUCGGAAAUCCCUGUGCCGCCCUGGGACUGGAGAAAAUCGAGCACGGCCCUCCCGCGGAGGCCGGGGUCGUUGGGCCCCGGCACCGGGCCCGCCUGCCGCACGCGCGGGGAGGGGGCGGUUACGCCGACUGCGCGUUGCUGGGGGGACAGGGAGGUUCGGGGAGCGAGGCCUCUGGCCCAGCGUGCUAGGCGCGGGGAGGCAGGGCAGGAAGUAAGCCUCGAAUUGUCUAGAACCCGGGCCUGGGCUGGUUCUGACGUCACACGUGCCUCUGCGGUGAGUCAGGCUGAGAGUACAAAUUAUUUCCCUGUGAAAUUCAAGUAAAGGGGGACAAGUCCUUUCUCAAAUGCUGCCGAAACCUCGGGGGAAAGUCGUGCAGGUUUGGGAAACGCAUCCCGGCGCACGACCCUGAGGGGUUGUUGGCUUUGCUCUCCCGAACAGAAGCGUGAGCCAGUGGAAAGGCCGCUGCCCUCAGUCUGAGAAGUUUCCUUAGAAGAAACACAAUGUUCUGGAACACAGGAGUGGAAUGAAGAGAAGGGAGACUUGGUGGGGGGCCCGUUUUGUGGGCAGAUGGACAACAGCGCGGGAGGUCAUGGGGCACCUGGCGCCAGCGAGCUCGAGUGGCUGUCGGUGCUGGAAGCUCCCGGCACGGCUGACAGACUCUGGAUUUAGAGGCUGGCUCCGCAGGUCCCCUCUGAGGGCGUGUUGUCCCCCAGCCAGCUUGUCACCCCAGCAUCCUUGGGGUGGACGUUCCAGAUUGAGCCCAAUACGUGGCAAGUCACGCUGUAAAGAAGGUCCCCUGUCCUGCACAUCACCUGUCAGCUUGUGGGGUGCAAACUCCUCCGGCAGAAAACAGAACGUCCACAUACUCCAGCUGGGAAAAUUGCGUCUGACUCCUGGGGGGCCAGGACCUCCAGCGGACAAGACUGUUAAGGGUACCAGGGUAAAUGUAUUCAAAAUUCGGGCCAAUAAAAUAACAGUGUAUUCA